AUAGUACUCUCUCCGUCCCAAAAUUCUUGUCUUAGAUUUAUCUAAAUACAGAUGUAUCAAGUCAUGUUUUAGUAUUAGAUACAUCCGUAUCUAGACGAAUCUAAGACAAGAAUUUUGAAACGAAGGGAGUAUAAA
rnacentral:pre_miRNA from 1 species